rnacentral:rRNA from 1 species
AUGACCAUGGUUUGCACUCUUCUUGUUGUGGCCUCUGUUCGACGUUGGUCUGUAUCUCCGCUUGAUAUUAAGAACGUUUUUCUUAAUGGUGAGUUGUGUGAGGAGGUUUACAUGCAGCCACCACGUGGGUAUUCUUUUCCUAAUGGCAUGAUAUGUCGUCUUCGUUCCUCUCUCUACGGCCUUAAGCAAACCCCUCGUGACUGGUUUGAGCACUUCACCUUCGCGGUGACUGCCGCUGGUUUUUCGAAGAGUUCUCAUGAUCCUGCAAUGUUUGUCCAUCUUUCCGCUUGUGAUCGAACUCGUGUUCUUAUAUAUGUCGAUGACAUGAUCAUCACUGGUGACGACCCUGACUACAUUGCCUUUGUAAAGGCACAUCUUAGUGCGCAGUUUUUUAUGUCUGAUCUUGGCCCUCUUUGCUACUUUCUCAGGAUUGAAGUUUCUUCUACCUAUGAUGGUAUUUCCCAAGAGAAGUAUAUCCAGGAUCUUCUUGCUCGUGUUGCUCUUGCUGAUGAGCGCACUGUUGAGACUCCUGUGGAGCUCAAUGUUCACAUCUGUACUUCUGAUGGUGACACCCUGUUUGAUCUGACCCGUCAUCGCCAUCAUGUUGGGUGUCUUGUGUAUCUAGUUGUCACUCGUCCACAUAUCUCCUAUUAUAUUCUUCACUAUAGUCACCUUCUUCACAUUGUUUGA